ACGUAGUACGUGCGUGCGUGCCGGCAACCCAAUCACCUGCGCCGAACUGCGAUCAUCUGUUAGGGAUAAGUACCAGGAUGAACCUUUCCCCCCCGUUGAAAAGCCCAACCGGAUCGCCGCCGUUCCUUUCCAUGGAAAUCUCUGGGUUUUCCGAGAGCGACGGAGAGCCACGGGGAGCAAAGAGCCGGCCGGGACGCCCCGCUGCCGCGCGCCCUCCCGGCACGCCUCCCUUUCACGCCGUUGCCCUCUCCGCAUCCUGUCCCCGCGGGCGCAUGCCGGGGUAGAUAGAUCGAGGCGUUACGCGGUUGCCGUUUGCCGUUUGCAGGGCCGGGCGAUCGGCGGUUGGCUGGCGGCAAUGGCGCGGCGUGCGUGCGCGCGCGCGCGCGCGAUAGGCCGGUGGAUUGGUGGUGGUGGCGACUGGCGACUUGUCGCCGCGCCCGAUGGGCUCCCACCCGUGUCGGGCCGGGGGCCUCCGGCGAGCGACAGGCAAGCGGCGCGCACCGCGCGUGCGAUCGACAGCGGAGGGACAGAAAGGUCGGCACCUGCCCCACGCAUCUGCGACAUGGAGCCAUCCCCGUCACCUCCGUCCCCGGUCGUCCCCGGCCUCGUUCCAUUAUUACCAACUCCCGUUUUUCCUUUCCGCCAUCGCCAUGGAUGAUCCAUCCAUCGACCAAGGUCACGACAAAGCUCAGCUGCAUCCUGCAUGCACCAACCAGUUGAUCGUCUGAGAGUGUCGUCUGCCGGACAAUCAAUUACCGGCGGGUGAAUUUACUCACCGACUGCGACACACUGGCCCUCGACUGCAAGGCUUUCAUAUGACCACCUGCUCCGGUCCGGUCACUUGGCUGCCGGCCGGCCAGCGAGGGAUCGACAGGGAAAUUUCUGCGCGUCCAUUCAAGUGAUGACACCAAAUUAACUGUGCUGUGCUUCACUCAUAACCCCCGCUGUACAUGCUCAUUCAUUCAGUCAGUCAGUGCCCCGGCCAGUCCCCACGCAUUCUGCUUGCUUAUUCACACACUAGGAAGCAUUUACCUGUGCGGUGAUAUUUCUCCCAAACUUUUCUGAAGAUAGCUUUUCCAUGCAUGCGUGUGUGAGAACUGAGAAGGAGAGCAAUGGACAGUAGUGGGUGCAAACGGCAAAGCAAGCUUGUUCCCAGCUUUCAGAGACGGAUGCACGACGCAGCAGAGAUGGCAUAUCUGUUUUGGCAUCGCAUGGGUACUAUAGCUACUACUGGCCGGUGAUGCAACGCAACAAGUUGCAGCUGCAUGCCCCUGAAUGUUAGUUGGUGCUAAUGGGAGCCUCCUCAUCCUGUGAAUGUGUGUCUCCUCAUGGCAUCUUGUCCCUGUUUGCAUCAUGCAGCAUCCAAAAGGCAGAAUGCAGGACAAGCACCUCCCUUGGCGCAUUGCAUCCUCUUCUCCUUGCAGACCAGAGCAGGACCAACACCCUGGUAGGCUGGUGGUGCUACCCCACUAUAUACACGUACGCAUGUAUGAAAAGUGUGCAUAUAUAGAUGUAUGCGAUCCUGUGCAUGGUCUGCUCCAUUUGGUUGCUUGUGUUCCUUGCUGCAUGGAGGGCAUGCAUGCAUGUACAGGCAGCCAUUCCAUGUACAACAGUACAAGCCAGGUGUGUCCUACUGCACCUGCACAUCCGUGGCCUAUUCCUCCAAAGGAAUAAUAUGCGUGUCCACUGCUGGGUGCUUCCCCAUUUUGCUUUCUUGUGUAUAUAUGUACAUGUACAUGUACAUGCAUGCAUAUAUACCAGUACAAUGCCAUUUUUGCUAGUCUAUACACCAAUAAAAUAUCAUCGUCCUCAUAUCAUUUGACCAGCCUGGUUCGCUAAGCCAUCGUGCCAAAUGACAAACUGGCUAAAAGACAAAUUGCUGGGCCAAUUAAUUAACUAGUAAUCUAGUUCAUUUUUUAGAAUAAUCUACUCCCUCAGUCCCAUAAUGUAAAACAUUUUCUGACACUUGGGAGUAGUUCUGAUCAGUGAUAACAAAACAAGAAUUUGGUCAGGAGGCAGCCAGCAGCUAGAAGGAACAAACACAACAUGUCUUCUUCUUUCCCAUCAUAAUUUUUUCUGCACUUGAAUUGAAUUAAACCAAGUGGCAUGCAUACUUAAUUACAGAUGUAGAACUAAGUUUGCUUGAUUUUCUUACAAUUAGUUCGUUCCCUGCUGCAUGGACGCAUCCACCACCAGCAUCUGCAGUUCUGCAUGGAGACAUAU